GAACGCGAAAGCCCCGCAAGGGGCAAGUAGAGUGGCAAACGGGUGAGUAACACGUGGGUGACCUGCCUUCGAGCGGGGGAUAACGUCCCGAAAGGGACGCUAAUACCGCAUAACAUCCUGCCUUUGAAGAGGUGGAGAUCAAAGCUGGGGAUCGCAAGACCCGGCACUUGAAGAGGGGCCCGCGUCUGAUUAGCUAGUUGGUGGGGUAACGGCCUACCAAGGCAACGAUCAGUAUCCGGCCUGAGAGGGCGGACGGACACACUGGGACUGAGACACGGCCCAGACUCCUACGGGAGGCAGCAGUGGGGAAUUGUUCGCAAUGGGCGCAAGCCUGACGACGCAACGCCGCGUGGAGGAUGAAGAUUUUCGGAUCGUAAACUCCUGUCGAAUGGGACGAACAGAUUGCGGGUUAACAGCCCGUAGUCCUGACGGUACCGUUAAAGGAAACCCCGGCUAACUCCGUGCCAGCAGCCGCGGUAAUACGGGGGGGGUAAGCGUUGUUCGGAAUUACUGGGCGUAAAGGGCUCGUAGGCGGCCAACUAAGUCAUACGUGAAAUCCCUCAGCUUAACUGGGGAACUGCGUGUGAUACUGGAUGGCUUGGAUUUGGGAGAGGGAUGCGGAAUUCCAGGUGUAGCGGUGAAAUGCGUAGAUUUCUGGAGGAACACCGGGUGGCGAAGGCGGCAUCCUGGACCAUAUUGACGCUGAGGAGCGAAAGCUAGGGGAGCAACGGGGAUUAGAU
rnacentral:rRNA from 1 species